rnacentral:lncRNA from 1 species
UUAGGCUUGGCCACAAGAGACAAAUUGCAAGGCAUGGAGACAUUUUUCUAACACUUGAAAAGUCUAUGCAAGGGCACCAGGCAGCUCAUGCACCUUGCCACUUAUCUACUGGGUCACCUUGUUGGCAUGGGAUGCCAGCCAGGCUUGAAGCUGCUCCAUCCUCCCCUGAAUUUGUACUUCAGCUUCUCCACUCAUGGCCUGCCCUGAGGACUUCAUGGUUCAGCAUCAGAUAUGAAGAUGACAGCCCUAUAGGGUCUAUUUAACCAGCUUCUAAGGUGGUUAAAUAUCUUACCAGCCUAUGUAAGGUCGAAUCCUACUAACAAAUCACUAGUAUAUGUAAUAUCCCAGUGGUUUGCUUCUCUAAUUGAACCCUGACUACUACAGGUAAGAAUUUUGACAAGAAUAUAUUAAUUCUUCUAGGAGGAAGAAAGGGAAACUCACUUCAGGUCAAUAGAGAUUGUCAUUUGGGACCCCUUCAAGGCAACCAAUUAUAUGACUCUCUCUAAAAUAUUGCUAUCCAGCCCCCAUUCCUCACUAUUGUCCUAGUGGUAAUAAGGCAUUCAUCGUGUAUCUUUCAGAAGUCCAGAUACCGCAGUCUG